UACGUAGGAGACGAGCGUUGUCCGGAGUUACUGGGCGUAAAGGGUGCGCAGGUGGCGGCGCGCGUGGGGGGUGAAAUCGCCCGGCUUAACUGGGCGGGGGCCUUCCAGACGGCGUGGCUUGAGCAGCGGAGGGGGACGUGGAAUUCCUGGUGUAGCGGUGAAAUGCGCAGAUAUCAGGAGGAACACCAAUGGCGAAGGCAGCACUCUGGGACGGUACUGACGCUGAGACGCGAAAGCGUGGGGAGCAAACAGG
rnacentral:rRNA from 1 species